AUGCUUGCCUCAGCAGCACAUAUUCUAAAAUUAGAACAAUACAGAAAACAUUGGUAUGAUCCCUGAGCAAGGAUAACAUAAAAAUUUGUGAAGAAAUUUAUUUUACU